UAGGGAAUAUUAGAAAUGGACGAGAGUCUGAUCUAGCAACACCGCGUGUGCGGAGAAGGCCUUCGGGUCGUAAAGCACUUUUUGGAAGGAAUGGGAAGGAAUGUACUUCCAGAAUAAGUCUCGGCUAACUACGUGCCAGCAGCCGCGGUAACACGUAGGAGGCAAACGUUAUCCGGAUUUACUGGGCGUAAAGCGCGUGUAGGUGGUACUGUAAGUAGGGCGUGAAAGCUCCUGGCUCAACUGGGAGAGGCCGUUCUAAACUACAGAACUAGAGGAUGGUAGAGGGAGGUGGAAUUCCAGGUGUAGCGGUGGAAUGCGCAGAUAUCUGGAGGAACACCGGUGGCGAAGGCGGCCUCCUGGACCAUUCCUGACACUCAGACGCGAAAGCUAGGGUAGCAAACGG
rnacentral:rRNA from 1 species